rnacentral:misc_RNA from 1 species
AACAUCGCGCACCUGCGGGAACCUGCGGAAGGAUCAUUACACAAUAAACAUAUGAAGGCUGCACCGCCAACAGGCGGCAAGGCUGGAGUAUUUUAUUACCCUUGUCUUUUGCGCACUUGUUGUUUCCUGGGCGGGUUCGCCCGCCUCCAGGACCACAUGAUAAACCUUUUUUAUGCAGUUGCAAUCAGCGUCAGUACAACAAAUGUAAAUCAUUUACAACUUUCAGCAACGGAUCUCAGA